GACGAACGCUGGCGGCGUGCUUAACACAUGCAAGUCGAGCGGUAAGGCCCUUUCGGGGUACGACGAGCGGCGAACGGGUGAGUAACACGUGGGUGACCUGCCCUCAGCUCUGGGAUAAGCCUGGGAAACUGGGUCUAAUACUGGAUAUGACUCCACGGUGCAUGUCGUGGGGUGGAAAGCCUUGUGCGGCUGAGGAUGGGCCCGCGGCCUAUCAGCUUGUUGGUGGGGUGANGGCCUACCAAGGCGACGACGGGUAGCCGGCCUGAGAGGGCGACCGGCCACACUGGGACUGAGACACGGCCCAGACUCCUACGGGAGGCAGCAGUGGGGAAUAUUGGACAAUGGGCGCAAGCCUGAUCCAGCGAUGCCGCGUGUGUGAAGAAGGCCUGC
rnacentral:rRNA from 1 species